AAGAGAAGACAUUGACUUAUUGAACCAAAGGAGAGUGCAUAGAACUUCAAAAUUAAGAGGCCAGUGCAAAUUAAGUCCAUCAUUUUUUCCCCUAUAAAUUGACAAUCGUCAAUCUCAUAUUACAAAAACUAGUAUACUUCUUUUAUUGGUGUUUGAGGAAAAUGUUGUACAAGGCUACAUUUACUUUCUUCAUUUUGUUAUUAUUUUCGGCUGGAUUGCUCUUCCCCUUAGCACCCACAAGAAUAUCUACAACUAGUAAGUUACUUUCCCUUUAGAUUUGUUAUAUUAUUUUCUCGUUUAUGCUAACAAACAUAACACCGAGAAUUACACAGAAAUUAACAGGAGCAUACGCAAAAAGAUUUGUAAGCGCCGUCGAAAUUUAUAGAAGAACGAGAAUAGUAACUUCAAUUAUCAUACUUCUACACAAGAAAUAACUUUAGUCUAUUGAUUUUGCUGAAUCUUAAGUUAGCAAAAGCCCUGAAUUAAUAUCUACUUCAUCACAAUUUUUAACCACAUAGAUUCUCUCAAUUAUUUGCAAAAACGAUGUGCUAGGUGAGGUUACCUUUUAGAGCACAGUCAAGAUCCUAACCAAUACACCAAGAGACAAUAUAUGUCAAGUGAUGUCAUUUUUUUCUACUUAUCCGCUUCCUCACAGUAUUAAUACAUAUAUUUAGUAAAACAUACGAUGAAACGGUAUCGCGUGACACUUCUUCGAUAAAUGUGCAUCCGCCUCUCGUAAUUAAGUUGCGUUGAAUAAAUUGUCUUUAAAUUUAUCAUGUUGUGUAAUUACUAAAGCUUAUAAUUAUUAAGAUAGUGAUCAACUACUUAUAUAGUGUAGUGACUAAAUAAUGAUAUUCAAUUUAGAGGGGAACUCCUACAUCUGAGGCUAAUUUUAGAUCUUAUUCCGAUUUACAUAAUGCAUUACAUGAGUUCAAUUUGCACUUCAGUAUUUGUUUAAAUUUUUAUUCGAUAAUGAUACCUCUGUCACUUUCAAAUCCCGAAUCCGCCUCUGAUUCAAGUACACCUAAUUCCUUCAUGUUAAUUUGGUUGCAGUGAUAGUGAGAGAUUUUAGAGAAACUCAUGCCAUUAUUUCACACAGAAGAAUUGCAGUUCCCAUAAGAUGGAGCCCCAGAGCAAAAGCUGCAAAGGCUCCCCCAAGCCCAGAGAAUGGCAAAGGAAAUUAGCUGCUCUAAUUUCGGCCAUUUGUUAUUGUUGUACUUGUAUUUCUUUUAACUAGUAUCUAUGAACGUGCAUCGCAUGUUAAUAUUGACACGUGAUGAUUUAAACAUUUAUUUAUAUGAAGGAAUAAUAAAAUUUAAUUAAUGAGAGAAAUUUUAUGUAUAAUAAUACAACAAUCAUCUAAAUGCCGAAAAAUAUUAUUACAUUAGCAUAAUAUAUGAAUUUAAAAUAAAAGGACAUCAUCAAAAUACAAAUGAUCAAUUUUGUCAUGUUAGUUAGAUAAUUAUAUAUUAUAGUUUAAAAGUAUUUAUUGUGAUGGUAUCUUAACGAAUACUUCUUUGUAGAUAAUAUUUAUUUUUGUGUAUG
rnacentral:lncRNA from 1 species